CAGCGGCACGUGCUGUUAGUUACAUUUCCGGCACAAGGCCACAUCAACCCAUCCCUUCAGUUCGCCAAGAGGCUGACCGCCAUUGGCAUCAAGGUCACCUUCGCCACCAGCCUCUACGCACGGCGGCGCAUGGCCAGAACCGCCGCCGGACUGCCCAAGGGGGUCACCUUCGCCGCCUUCUCCGACGGGUACGACGACGGGUUCAAUCCCGGAAACGACGACGCCGGAAAGUACAUGACGGAGAUUAGAAGCAGAGGCUCCCAAAGCCUGAGAGACACCAUCCUCGCCGCCGCCGAGCAGGGCCGCCCCGUCACCCAACUGG
rnacentral:lncRNA from 1 species